UUCUUAUCGAGAGCGACUGAGGGACUGGCCCUGUGACGUCGCGGCAACCAGCCUUCGGGCAAGGUGCCAAAUCCAGCGAGACCUUUACAAGGUUUCGGGAGAUAAGGA
rnacentral:ncRNA from 2 species